UGGGGAAUUUUCCCCAAUGGGCGCAAGCCUGAGGGAGCAACGCCGCGUGCAGGACGACGGCCUUCGGGUUGUAAACUGCUUUUGCGUGGGACGAUAACGACGGUACCACGCGAAUCAGCCCCGGCUAACUCUGUGCCAGCAGCCGCGGUAAUACAGAGGGGGCAAGCGUUAAUCGGAAUUACUGGGCGUAAAGCGCGCGUAGGCGGCUUAGUAAGUCGGAUGUGAAAGCCCCGGGCUUAACCUGGGAAUUGCAUUCGAAACUGCUGAGCUAGAGUAUGGUAGAGGGAAGUGGAAUUUCCGGUGUAGCGGUGAAAUGCGUAGAUAUCGGAAGGAACACCAGUGGCGAAGGCGACUUCCUGGGCCAAUACUGACGCUGAGGUGCGAAAGCGUGGGGAGCAAACAGGAUUAGAUACCCCCGUAGUCC
rnacentral:rRNA from 1 species